rnacentral:rRNA from 1 species
UACGAAGGGGGGCUAGCGUUGCUCGGAAUCACUGGGCGUAAAGGGUGCGUAGGCGGGUCUUUAAGUCAGGGGUGAAAUCCUGGAGCUCAACUCCAGAACUGCCUUUGAUACUGAAGAUCUUGAGUUCGGGAGAGGUGAGUGGAACUGCGAGUGUAGAGGUGAAAUUCGUAGAUAUUCGCAAGAACACCAGUGGCGAAGGCGGCUCACUGGCCCGAUACUGACGCUGAGGCACGAAAGCGUGGGGAGCGAACGGGG